CCUGGCGGCCUUAGCGCGGUGGUCCCACCUGACCCCAUGCCGAACUCAGAAGUGAAACGCCGUAGCGCCGAUGGUAGUGUGGGGUCACCCCAUGCGAGAGUAGGGAACUGCCAGGC
rnacentral:rRNA from 1 species